rnacentral:rRNA from 1 species
GUAAGGAAUAUUGGACAAUGGACGCAAGUCUGAUCCAGCCAUGCCGCGUGAAGGAUUAAGGUCCUCUGGAUUGUAAACUUCUUUUAUAAGGGACGAAAAAAGGCUUUUCUAAGUCGUCUGACGGUACCUUAUGAAUAAGCACCGGCUAACUCCGUGCCAGCAGCUGCGGUAAUACGGAGGGUGCAAGCGUUAUCCGGAUUCACUGGGUUUAAAGGGUGCGUAGGCGGGCAGGUAAGUCAGUGGUGAAAUCCUAGAGCUUAACUCUAGAACUGCCAUUGAUACUAUCUGUCUUGAAUAUUGUGGAGGUAAGCGGAAUAUGUCAUGUAGCGGUGAAAUGCUUAGAUAUGACAUAGAACACCUAUUGCGAAGGCAGCUUACUACGCAUAUAUUGACGCUGAGGCACGAAAGCGUGGGGAUCAAACAGGAUUAGAAACCCCGGUAGUCC